rnacentral:rRNA from 1 species
UACGAAGGGGGCUAGCGUUGUUCGGAAUUACUGGGCGUAAAGCGCGCGCAGGCGGUUCUUCAAGUCAGUGGUGAAAGCCCGGAGCUCAACUCCGGAACUGCCAUUGAAACUGUGGAACUUGAGGAUGAGAGAGGUGAGUGGAAUUCCCAGUGUAGAGGUGAAAUUCGUAGAUAUUCGGAAGAACACCAGUGGCGAAGGCGACUUACUGGACACAUAUUGACGCUGAGGUGCGAAAGCGUGGGGAGCAAACAGG